UACGAAGGGGGCUAGCGUUGCUCGGAAUCACUGGGCGUAAAGCGCACGUAGGCGGCUUUUUAAGUCAGACGUGAAAUCCCUCAGCUUAACUGGGGAACUGCGUCUGAUACUGGAUGGCUUGAGUUUGGGAGAGGGAUGCGGAAUUCCAGGUGUAGCGGUGAAAUGCGUAGAUAUCUGGAGGAACACCGGUGGCGAAGGCGGCAUCCUGGACCAACACUGACACUGAGGAGCGAAAGCCAGGGGAGCAAACGGG
rnacentral:rRNA from 1 species